UCCCCGCGGUGCCUCCUCGCUGGCCGCGCUCCCUUCUGGUGCCGGCUUCUCUGAGCCACCAACCUGCGGCUGCCCCGGCCGCCUGCGCACCCGGCAGCACCAUGACAGAUCAGGCCUUUGUGACACUGACCACAAACGAUGCCUACGCCAAAGGUGCCCUGGUCCUGGGCUCAUCUCUGAAACAGCACAGGACCACCAGGAGGCUGGUCGUGCUCGCCACCCCUCAGGUCUCAGACUCCAUGAGAAAAGUUUUAGAGACAGUCUUUGAUGAAGUCAUCAUGGUAGAUGUCUUGGACAGUGGCGAUUCUGCUCAUCUAACCUUAAUGAAGAGGCCAGAGUUGGGUGUCACGCUGACAAAGCUCCACUGCUGGUCCUAGCAAAUAUUGAUGAUCUUUUUGAGAGAGAAGAAUUGUCAGCAGCACCAGACCCAGGGUGGCCUGACUGCUUCAAUUCCGGAGUCUUCGUUUAUCAGCCUU
rnacentral:sRNA from 1 species